GACAGAGGGUGCAAACGUUGUUCGGAAUUACUGGGCGUAAAGGGCGCGUAGGCGGUCAGCACAAGUCAGUUGUGAAAUCUCCGGGCUUAACUCGGAAAGGUCAACUGAUACUGUGCGACUAGAGUGCAGAAGGGGCAACUGGAAUUCUCGGUGUAGCGGUGAAAUGCGUAGAUAUCGAGAGGAACACCUGCGGCGAAGGCGGGUUGCUGGCUGACACUGACGCUGAUGCGCGAAAGCCAGGGGAGCGAACGGG
rnacentral:rRNA from 1 species